UUGUGUAAGAGGGAUGGUGCUCCCUCCUAACUGCUGAGUGAUUCAGCUGAUGGCGCCUGUUAUAAG
rfam:Enterococcus asini ATCC 700915 genomic scaffold acvKe-supercont1.3, whole genome shotgun sequence.